rnacentral:rRNA from 1 species
CUUGAGGCGUGGCUUCCCGGAGCCUAACGCGGUUAAAUCGACCCGCCUGGGGAGUACGGCCGCAAGGUUAAAACUCAAAUGAAUUGACGGGGGCCCGCACAAGCGGUGGAGCAUGUGGUUUAAUUCGAUGCAACGCGAAGAACCUUACCUGGUCUUGACAUCCACAGAACUUGCCAGAGAUGGCUUGGUGCCUUCGGGAACUGUGAGACAGGUGCUGCAUGGCUGUCGUCAGCUCGUGUUGUGAAAUGUUGGGUUAAGUCCCGCAACGAGCGCAACCCUUAUCCUUUGUUGCCAGCGGUCCGGCCGGGAACUCAAAGGAGACUGCCAGUGAUAAACUGGAGGAAGGUGGGGAUGACGUCAAGUCAUCAUGGCUCUUACGACCAGGGCUACACACGUGCUACAAUGGCAUAUACAAAGAGAAGCGACCUCGCGAGAGCAAGCGGACCUCAUAAAGUAUGUCGUAGUCCGGAUUGGAGUCUGCAACUCGACUCCAUGAAGUCGGAAUCGCUAGUAAUCGUAGAUCAGAAUGCUACGGUGAAUACGUUCCCGGGCCUUGUACACACCGCCCGUCACACCAUGGGAGUGGGUUGCAAAAGAAGUAGGUAGCUUAACCUUCGGGAGGGCGCUUACCACUUUGUGAUUCAUGACUGGGGUGAAGUCGUAACAAGGUAACC